CGGGACGUAGCGCAGAGGUAGCGCACAUGUCUGGGGGGCAUGCGGUCGCUGGUUCGAUUCCAGUCGUCCCGA
rnacentral:tRNA from 1 species